rnacentral:rRNA from 1 species
GACGAACGCUGGCGGCGUGCCUAAUACAUGCAAGUCGAACGCAUUGUGGUUGAAAUGAUAUGAAGAACUUGUUCAGAUUUGAUUUUCAACAUUGCAAUGAGUGGCGAACGGGUGAGUAACACGUGGGAAACCUACCUCUUAGCAGGGGAUAACAUUUGGAAACAAAUGCUAAUACCGUAUAAUAAUUAAAACCGCAUGGUUUUAGUUUAAAAGAUGGUCUUGCUAUCACUAAGAGAUGGUCCCGCGGUGUAUUAGUUAGUUGGUGAGGUAAUGGCUCACCAAGACAAUGAUACAUAGCCGAGUUGAGAGACUGACCGGCCACAAUGGGAGUGAGACACGGCCCAUACUCCUACGGGAGGCAGCAGUAGGGAAUCUUCCACAAUGGACGAAAGUCUGAUGGAGCAACGCCGCGUGUGUGAUGAAGGGUUUCGGCUCGGUAAAACACUGUUGUAAGAGAAGAAUGACAUUGAGAGUAACUGUUCAAUGUGUGACGGU